rnacentral:rRNA from 1 species
AGCGAACGCUGGCGGCAGGCCUAACACAUGCAAGUCGAACGAACCUUUCGGGGUUAGUGGCGGACGGGUGAGUAACACGUGGGAACGUGCCUUUAGGUUCGGAAUAACUCAGGGAAACUUGUGCUAAUACCGAAUGUGCCCUUCGGGGGAAAGAUUUAUCGCCUUUAGAGCGGCCCGCGUCUGAUUAGCUAGUUGGUUGAGGUAAUGGUUCACCAAGGCGACGAUCAGUAGCUGGUCUGAGAGGAUGAUCAGCCACAUUGGGACUGAGACACGGCCCAAACUCCUACGGGAGGCAGCAGUGGGGAAUCUUGCGCAAUGGGCGAAAGCCUGACGCAGCCAUGCCGCGUGAAUGAUGAAGGUCUUAGGAUUGUAAAAUUCUUUCACCAGGGACGAUAAUGACGGUACCCGGAGAAGAAGCCCCGGCUAACUUCGUG